rfam:Erinaceus europaeus unplaced genomic scaffold scaffold00740, whole genome shotgun sequence
GGCUCUUUUCAGAGCCACCUACAAUGUCAGGAGAGAACUG